rnacentral:lncRNA from 1 species
AAGUCUGGGUGGCACUUUAGGGGUAAAUGAAAACUGGCCCACAGAAAGCACUGAAUUUUACAAAUAAAAAUGCUAGCUCAUCCCCAUGUGGGGCAUGUGACAAAUGUGACAUUUGCAAUAUUAUGAAUCUAUGAAGGUCAAGUUUUGCUUUUCAUUUCUGAGGCUACUGACUACAAAGAGGGUUUUUUUUUUUCCUAUAAAAAUUCUUUGUGCAAAACCUUGAAGGCAACAGUACUGGAAAUGAUUUUUAAAACAGAACUCAAAUAAUAUGGUCUCCCAGGAAGUAGUUUUGAAUAAUAUACAAAGAAAAAACUGAAUUACGUUCGGAGCCUCCUCCAUAGAUGCUGUCCCUGAGGAGCUGAGCCCAGACCGCCUCUAGAGAGUGGGGGUUUCAUCCAAGAUAAACUCAGCCACCGUGGACCAAGUCCUGCAUCAGCCACCUGCCAGCUACAGCUCACGAUGGAUCUGAACAAACUCCUCAAAUUGGACAGAAAAA